UACGUAGGGUGCGAGCGUCGUCCGGAAUUAUUGGGCGUAAAGAGCUCGUAGGCGGUGUGUCACGUCGGCCGUGAAAACCUGCAGCUUAACUGUGGGCGUGCGGUCGAUACGGGCAUCACUGGAGUUCGGCAGGGGAGACUGGAAUUCCUGGUGUAGCGGUGAAAUGCGCAGAUAUCAGGAGGAACACCGGUGGCGAAGGCGGGUCUCUGGGCCGAUACUGACGCUGAGGAGCGAAAGCGUGGGGAGCAAACAGG
rnacentral:rRNA from 1 species